rnacentral:misc_RNA from 1 species
CAUUUAGAGGAAGUAAAAGUCGUAACAAGGUUUCCGUAGGUGAACCUGCGGAAGGAUCAUUACCAAACCCAAAAAAACCCUUAUCAACACCUUAAACAUGUGCACUGAGAGUGGUCCGUUCUCCCCGCUUCCAUGCCUGUGUGUGUAUGUGCCUUGCACUCACUCAGAGGAAUGUGUGGGUGGGGAGAGCGUUUUUUUUUCUUCUCAACCCCUUUUCAACCAUUACCUUAACCAUGUGAUGCUGAAAGCAAAAACAAAAAAAACGAAACAUGAGACAACUUUUAACGGUGGAUCUCUUGGCUCGU